AGUGAACGCUGGCGGUAGGCCUAACACAUGCAAGUCGAACGGCAGCACAGUAAGAUCUUGCUCUUACGGGUGGCGAGUGGCGGACGGGUGAGGAAUACAUCGGAAUCUACUUUUUCGUGGGGGAUAACGUAGGGAAACUUACGCUAAUACCUCAUACGACCUACGGGUGAAAGCAGGGGAUCUUCGGACCUUGCGCGAUUGAAUGAGCCGAUGUCGGAUUAGCUAGUUGGCGGGGUAAAGGCCCACCAAGGCGACGAUCCGUAGCUGGUCUGAGAGGAUGAUCAGCCACACUGGAACUGAGACACGGUCCAGACUCCUACGGGAGGCAGCAGUGGGGAAUAUUGGACAAUGGGCGCAAGCCUGAUCCAGCCAUACCGCGUGGGUGAAGAAGGCCUUCGGGUUGUAAAGCCCUUUUGUUGGGAAAGAAAAGAAGCAGGUUAAUACCCCGCUGUUCUGACGGUACCCAAAGAAUAAGCAACGGCUAACUUCGUG
rnacentral:rRNA from 1 species